rnacentral:lncRNA from 1 species
GAACCAAGCACUGGACUCCUUCAGUUAUUACUCUCAUUAUGGUAGUUUCUGUACAAUGCUUCUCGAUGGGUAAAACCAGGAGCACAGAUAUGGUUCUGGGUUGCAGCCCAUGUUGCCAGGAAGGAACAUAGUGUAACCUGGAUUGCCUGUGUUUUUACCGAGAAAAUAAUAAGGAUAUUUGAUGCCCAAGCUGUAAGGUAAGGGUCAGAUGCUGGAAGUCCGGCCCCUCUACUGUCCUUCUGCGACCCCAG